rnacentral:rRNA from 1 species
GAUGAACGCUGGCGGCGUGCCUAAUACAUGCAAGUCGAGCGAACAGACGAGGAGCUUGCUCCUCUGACGUUAGCGGCGGACGGGUGAGUAACACGUGGAUAACCUACCUAUAAGACUGGGAUAACUUCGGGAAACCGGAGCUAAUACCGGAUAAUAUAUUGAACCGCAUGGUUCAAUAGUGAAAGACGGUUUUGCUGUCACUUAUAGAUGGAUCCGCGCCGCAUUAGCUAGUUGGUAAGGUAACGGCUUACCAAGGCGACGAUGCGUAGCCGACCUGAGAGGGUGAUCGGCCACUCUGGAACUGAGCCACGGUCCAGACUCCUACGGGAGGCAGCAGUAGCGAAUCUUCCGCAAUGGGCGAAAGCCUGACGGAGCAACGCCGCGUGAGUGAUGAAGGUCUUCGGAUCGUAAAACUCUGUUAUUAGGGAAGAACAAAUGUGUAAGUAACUAUGCACGUCUUGACGGUACCUAAUCAGAAAGCCACGGCUAACUACGU